UGAAAGAUUGAUGGCAAGUUCUUGAGCCUUGAAUUAAAUUUGAAAUCUUCUAGGGUUUGUUCUUGAGAGCAACUUGUGAAGAAUGAAUAAUUUUUUGCUCUUAGAAGGGUUUAAUUUUUUGUUUUGGGGAUGAUAGGUGUGGGAAAAAUACCUAAUUACCCCUUAGGAUGCGGCUUUUUAAUAACUUAAAAUUGACCUAGCGACGCGCAGACCGACACACCGCGUCGUUGGUAUCGAUGAGAUGGCCAACGCACCCAGUUGAGUCCGUGUUGGUUCACUAUAAUUUGCACUGGGAGAUGGAGUAAAAUAUUCAUCGACACAAUGGGCAAUGCAGCAUGUCGAGAUUGCAUCUAUCCACUGAUUUAAGCUUUCAAAUGUGAUCCAAACAAAGUCUGAAAAAUCUGAAAAUUAUUCAAAAAUAUCCACAGACAUUCCUUAUCAUGAUUCAACCUUAAAAUCAUUACUUUAAGGUCAUGAGGGUCAUGAAAUAGAGUCGCCAACCUACGAAAACUAAAAUAACACUAAGUCUGAAUACUUAUCUAAAAUUUUCUAAGUCAGGGACCCCUUAACAAGCUUUAAAGGUCUGAGUUAAGCUUAGGAUUUUGCGGGGUCUUACAAAACUAAUAAUGAUGAGAGAUAGUGAUGCAUAUGAAGGAAACCCCACUACUCUUUAUGCUUUGAUGUUAUGUAGUGAAAAUACUGAAAUUUCUUUAAGCUGGAGGUUUGCCAUGUUUUGUAUUUAUGUUUUGUUUUUGGUGGAUAUUCUAGUGUUUUACUUUGAUAUUUUUAUGCCCUUUUGGGAUGUUGGAUUAUGUUUUCAGACGUUACUAUGCCCGUGUUAGGCAUGGUUUUAUUGUGAUGGAUAUUGUGUACCCUUGUCAGGCUUGCACUUUAUUUGAAUUUUGUUGGAUUAGUUGUUUUUCUUUUGUUUUAUUUCUAGAUUAGUUUUAUUUUGGUGGUUAUUUUGGACAAUCCCUUCCUUAUGAUAGAUUGAGUGACGAUAUUCUUAAUGAAAAAAACAUCAUUUUGGAGUGUUGGUGUCAUCUGUGCCAAGGAAGUCUGAGUACCCAUAGCAUUAUGAAUUGGGGUUUAAAUUGUGAUGAUGGAGAAGUUUAAGUAGCUAUUUGUUUUGGUAAAGUCUGAAUAGCCGUAGCAUUUUCCUUGUUUGAGCUAAAAUGAGAGAUUAUGAAUUUUUUGUACUAAUAAUAGUUAGUCUUGCAUUGUGAAAAGUGAAAUGAGAAUACCCCUCCAUGUAAAUUAUUUGUGGAAAAUAAGAGCAUGGAAGUGAAUGAUGUUGUGACAAUGCUCUGGCUCUGUUCAUGACUCCUAAUUCAUUAGUUGGUAGUAAUGUGGACGCCCUUUUUCUUGCUUAAGAAAUGAAAUCAUUCCUUCUACAAUUGUUUUCAUGUCAUGUGUAGUGAGUGUUUAUUGAAUAAUUCUUGUGCUUGCUUGUGUCAUCUAGAAUUUUCUCCUUGGCCUUUCAAUGCUAGUCUUGAUUAUACUCGAUUGGUGAAAUGAUCUUAGGCCUUCUUUGGGACUUGUGGAAACCACUUUAGGCUGAAUAGCCUACUCGUCCAUGAAUGGUGUCACUGGUUACCCUAUUUGAUCCUAUCAACCUUGAUUUGGCAACCACAUUACAAGUGUUGAACCUUUUUAAAUUUUUGUCCUUGUCAUCUUGGUUUUAUUGUGAUGAAUAUUGUGUCCCCUUAUCGGGCUUGCGCUUUAUUUGAAUUUUGUUGGAUUAGUUCUUUUUCUUUUGUUUCUAUUUCUAGAUUAGUUUUUGUUUUGGUGGUUAUUUUGGAUGAAGACAUUCUAAAGAAAAAAUUAUCGUUUUUGAGUAUUGGUUUCAUUUGUACAGGAGAUGUCUGAGUACACGUAGCAUUGUAAAACAGGGUCGAAAUUAUGAUAUGGUGAAGUCUGAGUAGCCAUUUCUUGUGGUAAAGUCUGAGUAGUCAUAGCAUUAUAGCCCUUGUAGGAGCCAAAUGAAAGAUUGUUAGUCUUGCAUUAUGUAAAGUGAAAUGAGCAAAUCCCUCAGCCUAAAAUUUUGUGAAAAAUAAGUGCAUGGGAUUGAAGAUGUUGUGAUAACACCAUGAAUCUGUUCAUGACUCCUAAUUAUUUAGUUGGUGGUAAUGUGGAAAAUGACGCCUUUUGUUCUGGUUUAGAAAAUGAAAUUGAUUCUUGUAGAAUAGUUUGCAUGCCAUGUUUGGUGAGCGUUUCCUGAAUAAUUCUUGUUCUUGCUUAUGUCAUCUAGAACAUGCCCCAUUGGUUAUUCAAUGCUAGGCUUCAUGAUACUCGGUUGGUGUAAUGAUAUUAGGCCUCUUUUGUGACUUGUGGAAUCCACUUUAGCCUAAAAAUCCUACUCGUGCAUGAAUGGUAUCACUAGUUACCCUAUUUGAGCCUAUCAACCUUUCUUUGGAAACCACAUUACAAUCCUUGAACCUUUUGAAAUUUGUCACAACUCGAGACUACCCCCUAGUCGUAACAUGAUGCUUGGAACCACAAGUGAUCCCAAGAUAACCCAUAAACUGGGAUGAUACUUGAGCAACUGAUUUAGAAUAUAUUAAAUAGCUAGUUCUGUUUUGCGGAAACAUAAUUAUAAUGAAAUCUGAAUAAGUAUGUAACUGAUAAAAAUUUACAAUCUGAUAAAAUAAAGAAAGAACUCAAAUUAAAUGGCUAACUCUGACUGACAUCUAUGAAGCAUCUACUAUACUGACUAUAGGUAGCUGGGACAUGCCUCCAACUAACACUAAUCAAUACAUAUGGAAAAUCAAAAUACAACACAGUACAUGAACUAAAUCUGACUGGGGUCCCCAAAAUAGGAGAAUUCAUCACCUGCUGGCUGGAAGCUGCAACUUUCUGAUUAUGUUGCGUAAGCUAUAACUGGUUCCUACAUUAUGAGAUAAUGUAGCACAUAGACAUAUAUGUGGAUCAGUACUUCUGGAAUAUACUUAAUAAGUGAGGGUGAAUGUAAUAAGUAAGACUGAUUUCAUACGUAAUCUUAAAACAUGCAUGCCAAGUGCAAGUAGACUCACCAAGAGACUGAAAUACACUGACAGCUGAAGUAUCUUAAAACAUAAGUAACAAACAUGAUCUGAUAAGCUGAUGAAUCACUACACUUACUUUCUUAAAUCCUAAAUUUUGCAGAAUAAGUAGAUCUGAAGAUGGGAUAUGGUAAAAUAGGAGUGUUGUAUGUAAAUCUCAUGUAAAGUUGAACAUUCUAUAAAAACUAUACUGAGGAUCAUGUAUGGAUACUGAACAUGAAAAACAUAAUUGUACUUAGUCUAAAUAACUAGACUGAAACUGUGAGAUACCAUGCAUAUGAGGUAAGGACUAACUGAACAACAUGAGAUAACUAAUCAUGAAUGCAUGAAAACUGAAAUAUCUAAGAAUGCAAGACCAAGCAUAAAAUUGUAAUCUGAAAAAUUGUAAACUGUAUAACUGAAUAACUAAAAGUCUGUACACUUGAUAAAGAAAACCUGAACUGAGAAUACACUGAAUACUGUACUGAGACUGUGGGAGCUAUCAUAUAACUGACAUACACCAUUUGAGUUAUCAUGGAGUCCAAUGUCUGACCCACGUUGAGGAUGGUUGUUCUAUGCUUGCUAUCAUAACAGAACCUGAACUGAUCUGGAGUCAUCAUUAAAUCGAGCCCAUAUUGGGCAAAGGAAAACACUCUCUGGCGAGGCUCUAAACCUACGGUGGCAUGUAGAUUCUAGGGAAGUAAGAUGCGCUGAACCCAUACUUCCCACCCGGUGUUAAAUCCUACUCCCAACUUAAAGACACUAAAAUACUAACUAGUGUAUGCACUGUUAACUGAUAACUGAUAAGCUCAGGUCUUGGUAUUUUGAAAAUAAUAGUGCAUACAAAUUCUGAGGUAAUUAUAAAUAUAAAAACUGAUAAUGCUCAUCAUGAAUAUGAAUAUCUGAGUAUACUGAUAAAAUUCAUGGAUUAACUAUGGGAAUUUUUGAAAAGCUGAAUUUCUGUAAAUCACAUAGGUGUCACGUAUUCAUAACCCGCCAUUACUGAAAGAUCACUAAAUGCAAUAGCAAGCUUAAAAACUAUAGUAGAGGGUCAUGGUUCAAAAACCUAUAAGCAUAGACAUUUCAUCAAACACUUGGGAAUCGUGGACUUGAACAUGAGAAUGUCUUAAAACAUAUGAAAACAACAUGAUUACAUGGCUAAAUUCACAAUUUGAUAUUAUGACAUGAAAUUCAAUUGAACACAACAUAGAAAAAAUCAAAACUUGAGACAUGAGAUAACCAAUCUUUUCAUAGGAUCAUACUAGGACAUGAAUUGAGUCAAAUUACUAAGGAGAAACAUGAUUUAAACGCAUCUUCAACAUAUACAAAAUCAUAAUAAAUGAAAAAAUCCAUACUUUAAUGGAAAACACUGCCAGAAAUUGGGUCUAUGGCAACAGACUUUUUUACGACAAUUGCAAAAGCGUUACUAUAGAAUAUCUAUAGCAACACUUUCAAGCGUUGCCAAAAAUAAUUAUUCAAUUAGCAUUAUGACCGUUGCUAUUGAGAAUGAACCGUUGCAAUAGGUACAUUUACAGAGGGGAAAAAAUUAUCUAUCACACUGCUUUUUAAUUUCCCUCCACAAUAUUUUGAGUAAGUCUGCCCAAGAAAACAUUUUUCAAUACAAAAUAUCAAAAUCCCUCUUUUUGUAGCAAAUUGGAAAAUAUCAAAAUCCCCUUUCUGUAGCAAAUUAAAAAUCUCCACACUCCAAAUCGUAUCUCCAAUUUGUAGCAAAUCGAACUUCUGUAGCAAAAUCCCUCCAAUUACGAUUGAGAAACGUAACUCCAAAUCAGGGCAAAUCAGAGCUCUAAUUUCUCUAUCGUAACUCCAUUUCUCCUCAAUCGUAACAUCGAUUGUAAUAUAGUUAUAAUCGUAACUUUGAUUGUUACUCCAUUUCUCCAAUUGUUGGGUAGUAGUUCCAAUUAAUGGGUAGGCUUGUUGUAAUUCCACUGCUGCUGUUCGGUUGCUGUAAUUUCCAUUGAUGUUGUUGACUGAUGGAAAGGAGACAAACAAGUUACUAAUGCAGCUCGGCGAGUCGACUUUCAGUAUUUUUAAGAUUGUUGUUUCAGAAUUUGGGGAUUUUAAGGUAUUCUUUUAAUUGACGAUUUGACCUUAUUUAAGUUUUUAAUUUAGAAGCUCGGCGUGUUUUAGCUUGUAUAAACCUGCAAUAGUUUACCAAUAUUUUAGCUUCUGUAAAGCCACAAUGGCAUACCUAUAUUGGUCUGGCUAAGAUGAGUAGUUGUUUAAAAGCUAAAAAAUUGACUCUUUAGGUAAUAUGGUAAUUUUUGUUUCACUUUGAUGGUCUCUACUGACUAUCUAUACUGUUUGUGUUUGGAAUUUUUUGAGUUGUUGUCAACCUGACUAGUUGUUGUAAUGAAAUAUUACUCUUUUUGUUUGUUCCAUUUUUACGAUGUUAUUAAUAGUUGAGAAGUCAAAAUUUAUAUGAAAGAUUGUGUUUGUUAUGUUCGUUUUGUGCAUAAAUGAUUAUAGGAGUAGUUUGGAAUUUUGUUGUUCAUAAAUGUUGUUCACAAAUGAUUGUGGAAGUCAAAAGUUUGGAAUUUUCUCUAAUCCAAACUGACUAUAGGAUUAGUUCGUUUUGUUCAUAAAUGUUGUUUAAAUUUUUGUUUUUUCUACUGAUUCAAGUGUUAAGAUUUAGGGUGUAUUUGGUACAAAGGAAAAUGCUUUAGUUCUAAAAGAAGUUGUUCUAAGGUGAUCAAGCGUCAUCAUCUUCUUCGUCGGGGGUAAGUUGAACGAUCGACUAAAGCAAUUGCAUUGUCAAGUCCUGUGGAGGAUGACGUGUUGGAUGACGAUAGUGAAGAAGAAAGAGAGGUUAGUUAAUUCCCCAAGUUGUGUAAUGGGAAUUAGCAUAAGCUAUUUUUUUCUUGACUAUUUUUUUCUGGUAUUGCAACUUUUAUGGCACUUAGUUGGCCGUCAUACUUAUCAUUCUAGGAAUUAGUCACAACAGUCUUAUAAGUUGGCCAGUAAUAAAAUAUAUGAGCUAAUAUAAGUUAUAGAUUCUGUUGGAUGAUGCUGAUAAGCAUCAAACAGUUGUUGCAAUGUUCUUAUGGAGGUUGACAAAUGAAUCACAAAAUGGAUCUUACUUUCAGUUGAUUUGUGGAUACGCACUCAUUAAUUGUUUUUAUUGUCUGCACGAGAUGUUGACCAUCAUCUUUUGAACCUAUCACAAGGAUUUGCAUGUGACAUCAAUGUCGAAGGAGCUUUCCAUUUGGAUGCGAUUUUAUUGGAGGAAUCUCUAUUUUGCUUAUUAUUUUAUUUCUUGGGUUGAACUAUUAUCUUUUUUCUACUAUAUACAAAGCCUGAUACAAAUGCAAAAUUUGUUAUCGCUUCUUUUAAGUUGUUUCCAACCUCAAGUUUUGGCUUCUAUAUCUCACUUUGAGAUGUCUGAUUCUUCAAAACCAUUAUGCAUGGCAGACAUGGCUUACAACUAUUUCCUUGGCCCUUGGCCUUUGAUUUUCUUGAAAUGCUGAAGAAAGAGGAAGAAAUACUUUCUGCUGUCAGGGAGAAGCUGCUUCAGGUAAGUAGCCUGAUGUGACGUCUUUGAUACCUUCUAGCCCGAACACAUCUUCUGGUUUGUCUUUUGGAAGGCAAAGGGCAAAGGAUCCUGGAGCGAUGUUUGUUGCUGGUGCUACAAGACAAGCUAGUAUCCGCAUUGCUCAGGUACUGCUGCGUGAAGGUUAUAGUGUAAGAGCUAGAGUUUCUGACCUUGGUGCAGCACAAGAACUAACUUGUCCAGCGGUUAUCUACAAGGUCAGUUUCUUUGUCCUUGGAAAUACAGAACUUGUUAGAUUAUCUGGCAUUGGUUGUUGGAAUGAACCAUUGUCUUAUAUGUUUUUUGGAAAUAUUAAUUCAUGAGCUUGCAUUCGGUUGAAUUAGGUUCAUGGUCCACUUUUCUCUAUCCAUGUGAUCUAUGUUGUGUUUAUAAUAGUGAGCCUAGAUGUUAUAUUGUUACAAUCUAGAUGUCUAGCCUUUUGUGGUGGGAGGGGAGGAGUGCUAGAAUGUCUCAUUUUCUGUUCUGUUUCUAUCUGAACCUUAUGACGCUUGAUCUCUGUGCUCUCUUUGUCAAUAUCUCAUUGCGUGAAGGUUAGCCUUUGACUAAAAGUUGCAAUAUGUAGGGUUUGAUGCCUACUUGGUUGGUGGAUGUGUCAGAGAUCUAAUUCUCAGUAGAAUACCAAAAGAUUUUGAUGUAAUCACAACUGCAAUGCUUCCGCAUGUUAAAGAUACAUUCAAAUAGUAUCCUAACAACAAGGCAGUUAUGUUUGGUUUCAGCUACUGCCUACUCGUUCCAUGAUUUGAUAUUUACGUCUCUGUGUUCUAUUUGUCAUAGAUAAAAAGGCUUUUCAUCGUGCAAUAGUUAUUGGACGACAGUUUCCAAUAUGUAGAGUACAUGUCAACGGUUCUGUUGUGGAGGUAGGUGCAGCUUUAUGCUAUAGAUCUGUUGCACAUUCUAUACUUAUAUGUUUGUGCAUGAGCAUGCUCUAUUUCACUAUUGUAUACUUAUCAUCUUUUUGUUAUAAGUAGGUACUUGCUGUAAAAUGAAAAUCAUUAAAGUGACAUGAGAAGUGAGAAUUGGUGUAUUCUUACUAUUCAAAUAAAUUUGUAAGUUUAUCAUUUAGAUCAAAAUUAUGGUAAAGUGUUAAGAAAAGGAGAACAUUCAUUGAAGAACUUCCAUUGGUGAUGAGUGCUGACCUCCCUUUGAACUUAUAUUGGAUAGACAACAGAUCUGAAAUCUUUUUCUUCUAGAUAACCUAGAUAUGUUGGGUAUCAUCUUUCACACACUAUACAUAUUUAAUUAGUGUAGAAUUCGGGUUCCAUCUCUUAGGUAUCAAGUUUUUGUACUACAGCAAAACAAACUGGAAAAAAGAGAAACAUUUUGUUCCUAAAAUGCCAAAGGAAUUUCAUCGGAAGGAUUUCAUUAUCUGGAAGGAUUCAAUACGCCGAGACUUCACUGUUAACAGGUAUCUCUUUUACUUUUUGUUCCUUUUAGAAAAUGGAGCUAAAUUUAAUUUCUAUUCUGUAAAUUAUUCCCUGCGAAAGGGAGGAACUGGAAGGCUUUGUAGGCUGUUAUUCUAUUGCAGGACUAAUUUUGUUUUGGUUUUCAAUGUCUGGUCUCCUUUCUAUUCCUAUAUCAUUGAGAGAAGGAUAUCCUACUUUAAAUUAGAUAUUUACACAUCAUCGAUCUAAUAAAAGGAUGAUAACUGCAUUUAAGACACAUAAGAUUAUGUUGUUCUGAAGUAUCGAAAAUGCAGAUUGUGUACAUCUGAGAUGGUUUUUAAUUGUCAUUACUCCUAAAUAUGCUUCCUUAGCUUAUUUGAAAGACACUGGCCGAAAUUGAUGCACUUGGCGAGCUUCAACAAGAUGGUACCCUUGUUGUGUAUGUAACUUCUCUGACAAAUUACAUUUUAGUGUUAUAGCUGUUCAAUGGCAGUUUUUGUAUGGGAAACUUAAAGAGCUUUAGGAUUGCAGAGAUGGUCAAGCUGUUGCAGUCAUAUCUGAGUGGAAAGCUAGGCUACUGAUGGAGCAGUCAAGUGCCCUUCAAUUUCCUAUCAUUUAGCUAGCACCAAGAAGAUUAAGCAAGAGCUUGAGAAGCCCAAUGUACUAGAAAGGUUUCUGGAAAACAAAGAUGACAUUGCCGAACUACAGAAAUGCUUUGCAGGGUUUUGGAGGUUGGAUGAAUCGACACUAUCAAGGAUGCAAUUGAGAGGCCUGGAUUGUAUGUUAUGACACCAAAACGAGAAGGAGGAGGUCCUGCUCAUGAAAUUGCUUGCGUCUAUAGUGCAAUUACAUAUUAAAAUCUCUAAUAGUAAUGCAAUUUUGGAUUAUGAGAUUAUUAAUGAUUGAUUUUGUUUUGUGAUGUGUAUAUAUUGUGUUAUAAUUUAUCAUGUAUGUAAAUAGAAAUUUACAUUAAUACGAGUGACUAUUUAUAUAAA